AGUCAAUUAGGCAGCUCCCCUAUGAGGAAAGGUUGCAAAGUAAGAGGAGACAUGGCAGAGGUCUAUAAAAUUAUGCUGUGGAGAAAGCAGAUAGAGAAAAGUGUUUCUCCCAGUCUCAUAAGCAGUAGAACUCAGAAGUGCGGAGAAGAGCACAGUACAAGAUAUAUGAUGAUGAUUGGGAAUAUUAUAUCCAAGGAAGCUGAAUUCUGGAAAUUUCCGGACACACAGAAGGAGGU